rnacentral:rRNA from 1 species
GAUGAACGCUGGCGGCGUGCUUAACACAUGCAAGUCGAACGGAAAGGCCCAAGCUUGCUUGGGUACUCGAGUGGCGAACGGGUGAGUAACACGUGGGUGAUCUGCCCUGCACUUCGGGAUAAGCCUGGGAAACUGGGUCUAAUACCGGAUAGGACGAUGGUUUGGAUGCCAUUGUGGAAAGUUUUUUCGGUGUGGGAUGAGCGCGCGGCCUAUCAGCUUGUUGGUGGGGUAAUGGCCUACCAAGGCGUCGACGGGUAGCCGGCCUGAGAGGGUGUACGGCGACAUUGGGACUGAGAUACGGCGCAGACACCUACGGGGGGCAGAAGUGGGGAAUAUUGCACAAUGGGGGCAAGCCUGAUGCAGCGACGCCGCGUGGGGGAUGACGGCCUUCGGGUUGUAAACUCCUUUCGCUAGGGACGAAGCGUUUUUGUGACGGUACCUGGAGAAGAAGCACCGGCUAACUACGUG